rnacentral:rRNA from 1 species
CUGGGAUUGCCCUAGUAACGGCGAGUGAAGCGGCAAUAGCUCAAAUUUGAAAUCUGGCUCUCUAUGGGGGUCCGAGUUGUAAUUUGCAGAGGGUGCUUUGGCGUUGGCGGCGGUCUAAGUUCCUUGGAACAGGACAUCGCAGAGGGUGAGAAUCCCGUAUGUGGUCGCAUGCCUUCGCCGUGUAAAGCCCCUUCGACGAGUCGAGUUGUUUGGGAAUGCAGCUCUAAAUGGGAGGUAAAUUUCUUCUAAAGCUAAAUACCGGCCAGAGACCGAUAGCGCACAAGUAGAGUGAUCGAAAGAUGAAAAGCACUUUGGAAAGAGAGUCAAACAGCACGUGAAAUUGUUGAAAGGGAAGCGCUUGCAGCCAGACUUGCUCGUAGUUGCUCAUCCGGACUUUUGCCCGGAGCACUCUUCUGCGAGCAGGCCAGCAUCAGUUUGGGCGGUUGGAUAAAGGCCUCUGUCAUGUAUCUCCCUUCGGGGUGACCUUAUAGGGGAGGCGUAAUGCAACCAGCCCGGACUGAGGUCCGCGCAUCUGCUAGGAUGCUGGCGUAAUGGCUGUAAGCGGCCCGUCUUGAAACACGGACCAAGGAGUCUAACAUCUAUGCGAGUGUUUGGGUGUCAAGCCCGAGCGCGCAAUGAAAGUGAACGGAGGUGGGAACCCUCACGGGUGCACCAUCGACCGAUCCUGAUGUCUUCGGAUGGAUUUGAGUAAGAGCAUAGCUGUUGGGACCCGAAAGAUGGUGAACUAUGCUUGAAUAGGGUGAAGCCAGAGGAAACUCUGGUGGAGGCUCGCAGCGGUUCUGACGUGCAAAUCGAUCGUCAAAUUUGGGCAUA